rnacentral:lncRNA from 1 species
UUGCUUUGACCUUAGGCUAGCUACUUGAUUUCUCCUGUUAUUUUUAAUGGAAAUUACAGAAAUCUCUCCCCCAGAACUCCACAGGCUUUGCUAAUAAAAGUAAUUUUGGUGGUUCUGUGACAAACAAGAGAACCUGAAAAACCAGAGACUGAACAUUUUUUUCCAGAAGUAGACACUUUUUGUGUUAGGAAACUUAGCCAAAGACUUGGACACUGUGAAGAGGCCAGUCAUUUUUCUUUCCUUAUUUUUAAAUUGUUUUUGUUUAUUUAUUUUGAGACAAGGACCCGCUAUGUAGUUCAGGCUGUCCUUGACUUCACUAUGUAGCUUAGGCGGGCCUUGAAGUCACAGCAAUCCUCUUGCCUCAGCCUCCUGAGUGCUGGGAUCACAGGCAUGUGUUACCAUGCCCAGCAAGGCCUGUCAUCUUUCUAACCAGUAGCCAACUACAGCUCUUGCCCUUGAAGAGGAGUAAGAUGGCAAACAUAGUUGCAUUUGUUCUGCUCUUUGCCUGUGUGACCCAGGGACUACUGGGAAUGUUUCCACUUUCCUGACUGAAUGAAGCAGUUGCCAUCUAUAAGGUGAAGGGCCUCUGCUACUCUCUUCCUUUCAAGUUAGUUACACAGCCCCAUGAUAGAAACUGCCAGGAGAGUUUCAGAAGGAAGCAGGUCCCUGGAGUGUGUGAGCAUCACAGAAGAAGAAGGAACUGACAUGGGGUAGGGACAGAGAUGCCAUGGACACCGGGGUCUUCCUGUAGUAGUAAAGCAAGAGCCUGUGGCAGGCAGCCAGGUGAGCAGCCACAACACAUGGAGGGAUGGAGACACAUAGGAUGCAAGGCUUGGGGUGGCCUAGCUUCUGAAGCAUUGUGGAAGGAGGAAAUGGAGUGCCAGCAAGGGCCAUCCAUUUAUUAAGUAUUUCUCAAGAGGUGAUUGCCUGCUAAGUGGCUGGGCCACUGUUAGGGGUAAACAUUGCUGCACAACACAUCAGCCUCAAACUCAGAGGCUUAAAACUAUAGCCAUUUUGUUUCCUUUUGCAUUUCUGUGAGUUGACUGAGCUCAGCUGUGUUCCUGUCUGUAUCAUAAUAGCUACAGCUGAGGAAUCUAGGGCACAGCUCAGCUGGAACCUCCACGUGGGCUCACCCACAGAAACGGCCAUAGGUGCUAACUGUGGGCUGGGAGGCUAGCUAGGGGCUCCACCUGGAGGGUCUCAGUUUCCUUCUUUGUGGCUUCUCCAUAUGACUUGGGCUUCUGGGUUCCAAGGACCAGGAAGUGAAAGCUUCAGUUCUCUUAAAUCCUGGGCUCAGAAGUCCCAGAAUAUCACUUCUGCCUCAUCUAUUGGGCAAAGCCAAUCAUUGGACAUAUUAGUUAUCUACCGCUGCAUACAAUUCCCAAACUUACUGGUUUAAGAUGACUAUAAGCAUUUAUCUCUCAUUAUUUCUGUGGGUGAGGAAUUACAGAACAGCUUUUCUGAGGAGUUCUGGCUUGGGAAGUCUCAUGAGAUUGUAGACAAAAUGUCUCCCAGGGCUGCACUCAUCGGCAGGAUCCAUUUUCAAGGUGGCUCAUUUAUCAGGUUGGCUAACUGGUAUUUGCUGUUGGCAGGAAUUCUUCCCUGUAUGAGCUUCUCCACGGGCUGUUUAAGUGUCUUCACAACAUGGUGGCUAUUUGCCCCAGCAAGUGAUCCAAGAGACAAGAACCCAUGACCUAUCACUUCAAUGGCUGGACAUGAGCAAGGAGCUGGGUCCGGACACGGCUGCCUACUGCUGCCCCGCGUGCUAGGGUGACGAGAGCUGGAGCUACAAACAUCUGGUCUGCAGCUGGGCCAAGUCCCAGAGCCUGUCGGCCUCGCCCACCCUGGGCAGCACCAAGGAGUUCAGGAGAACGCGCUUUCUCCAUGGACCAUGCCCAGUGAUCACAUUUGGACCAAAGGCCUGCGUGCUGCCGAACCCCCAGACCAUCAUGCACAUUCAGGACCCUGCAAGCCAGGGGUUGACGUGGAACAAGUCCCCAAAGAGUGUGCUUGUCAUCAAGAAGAUCCGAGAUGCCAGCUUGCUUCAGCCUUUCAAGGAGCUCUGCAUAUACCUCAUGGAGGAGAACGGCAUGAUCCUGUACGUGGAGAAGAAGGGGCUGGAGGACCCUGCCAUUGCACGUGACGACAACUUCGGACCAGUGAAGAAGAGGUUCUGCACCUUCUGGGAAGAUUGUGACGACAUUUCCAACCAAAUAGACUUCAUCAUAUGCCUGGGAGGUGACGGGACCCUGCUGUACGCCUCCUCACUGUUCCAGGGCAGUGUGCCUCCUGUCAUGGCCUUCCACCUGGGCUCCCUGGGCUUCCUGACCCCGUUCACCCUCAAGAGCUUCUAGUUGCAGCUGACCCAGGUGAUUGAAGGGAACGCUGCUGUGGUGCUCCGGAGCCGGCUGAAGGUCAGGGUGGUGAAGGAGCCCUGCAGCAAGAAGAUGGCCAAGCACAACGGGCUCAGCGAGAACGGGCUGCCGGGCCCCCCCCCUCGAGGGCGGGAAGCAGGCCCUGCAGUACCAGGUCCUGAACGAGGUCGUGAUCGACAGGGGCCCUUCCUAGUACCUGUCCAACGUGGACGUCUACCUGGACUGACACCUCAUCACCACGAUGCAGGGCGAUGGAGUGAUCGUGUCCACCCCAACGGGCAGCAUGGCGUACGCGGCUGCAGCCGGUGCCUCCAUGAUCCACCCCAACGUGCCAGCCAUCAUGAUCACACCCAUCUGCCCCCACUCGCUGACCUUCCAGCCCAUCGUGGUCCCCGCGGGGGUGGAGCUGAAGAUCACGCUGUCACCAGAAGCCAGGAACACUGCGUGGGUGUCCUUGGACGGACGGAAGCGGCAGGAGAUACGCCACGGAGACAGCAUCACCAUCGCCACCUCCUGCUACCCGCUCCCCUCCAUCUGCAUCAGCGACCCUGUGAAUGACUGGUUUGAGAGCCUGGCGC